rnacentral:rRNA from 1 species
UACGUAGGGGGCAAGCGUUGUCCGGAUUUAUUGGGCGUAAAGAGCGGUGUAGGCGGCCAAGCAGGUCCGCUGUGAAAACUCGAGGCUCAACCUCGAGACGUCGGUGGAAACCGUUUGGCUAGAGUCCGGAAGAGGAGAGUGGAAUUCCCGGUGUAGCGGUGAAAUGCGCAGAUAUCGGGAAGAACACCCGUGGCGAAGGCGGCUCUCUGGGACGGUACUGACGCUGAGACGCGAAAGCGUGGGGAGCGAACGAGG